AAUGAACGCUGGCGGCAUGCCUAACACAUGCAAGUCGAACGAGAUCCUUCGGGGUCUAGUGGCGCACGGGUGCGUAACGCGUGGGAAUCUACCCUUGGGUUCGGAAUAACAGUGAGAAAUUACUGCUAAUACCGGAUAAUGUCGCAAGACCAAAGAUUUAUUGCCCAAGGAUGAGCCCGCGUAAGAUUAGCUAGUUGGUGGGGUAAAGGCCUACCAAGGCGACGAUCUUUAGCUGGUCGAGAGGAUGAUCAGCCACACUGGGACUGAGACACGGCCCAGACUCCUACGGGAGGCAGCAGUGGGGAAUAUUGGACAAUGGGCGAAAGCCUGAUCCAGCAAUGCCGCGUGAGUGAUGAAGGCCUUAAGGGUUGUAAAGCUCUUUUACCCGGGAAGAUAAUGACUGUACCGGGAGAAUAAGCCCCGGCUAACUCCGUGCCAGCCGCCGCCGUAAC
rnacentral:rRNA from 1 species